UGCAGUCGAACGAGCGAGAGAGAGCUUGCUUUCUCGAGCGAGUGGCGAACGGGUGAGUAACGCGUGAGGAACCUGCCUCAAAGAGGGGGACAACAGUUGGAAACGACUGCUAAUACCGCAUAAGCCCACGACCCGGCAUCGGGUAGAGGGAAAAGGAGCAAUCCGCUUUGAGAUGGCCUCGCGUCCGAUUAGCUAGUUGGUGAGGUAACGGCCCACCAAGGCGACGAUCGGUAGCCGGACUGAGAGGUUGAACGGCCACAUUGGGACUGAGACACGGCCCAGACUCCUACGGGAGGCAGCAGUGGGGAAUAUUGCACAAUGGGGGAAACCCUGAUGCAGCGACGCCGCGUGGAGGAAGAAGGUCUUCGGAUUGUAAACUCCUGUUGUUGAGGAAGAUAAUGACGGUACUCAACAAGGAAGUGACGGCUAACUACGUGCCAGCAGCCGCGGUAAAACGUAGGUCACAAGCGUUGUCCGGAAUUACUGGGUGUAAAGGGAGCGCAGGCGGGAAGACAAGUUGGAAGUGAAAUCCAUGGGCUCAACCCAUGAACUGCUUUCAAAACUGUUUUUCUUGAGUAGUGCAGAGGUAGGCGGAAUUCCCGGUGUAGCGGUGGAAUGCGUAGAUAUCGGGAGGAACACCAGUGGCGAAGGCGGCCUACUGGGCACCAACUGACGCUGAGGCUCGAAAGUGUGGGUAGCAAACAGGAUUAGAUACCCUGGUAGUCCACACCGUAAACGAUGAUUACUAGGUGUUGGAGGAUUGACCCCUUCAGUGCCGCAGUUAACACAAUAAGUAAUCCACCUGGGGAGUACGACCGCAAGGUUGAAACUCAAAGGAAUUGACGGGGGCCCGCACAAGCAGUGGAGUAUGUGGUUUAAUUCGACGCAACGCGAAGAACCUUACCAAGUCUUGACAUCCCUUGACGAUGCUGGAAACAGUAUUUCUCUUCGGAGCAAGG
rnacentral:rRNA from 1 species